CUGCCGGCAGAAAUAGACAUUGGCACACACUACCAACACUCAAAAUGUAUGUAACCUUUAACCCAGUGAUUCAUUUCCCAGGAAUGUCUCCAGGCACAACACCCACAGAGGCACAGGAUGUCCUCUGCAAGGUGUUUACAGUAACAAGGGACUGGAAACAACCUAAAUGGCCAUCAGCAGGAGUCUGAUUUAACAGAUGAAUUUCAGAGUCACACCACAGAAUACCGUGUGGUUUUCUGAAAGGAUGAGCCUUGAGCACUUUGGAGAGAGCGAGCCCCUACCUUCCUCCCGGGCAGACCGGAGCUCAAUGCGGGUCUUCUGAAGGGCUUCCUCUAGCUCUGCACAGCGAGCUUUCUCCUUCUCCAGGGCCAGCUUCAGCUCAUUGUACUGCAGAGGAACCUGUGUGGGCAAAGCAGGGUCCUCUUUCCGUCGACUAAAUAAACCCUAGCAAUGGAAACAGAGAUAUCUCCUAACUCCUGGAAACUGGCACUUGAAACUAGCUAAAGGAAAUCUGACUCGGGAGGAGCAAACCACAAAAGCCAGGAGCAUACUCACUGUAUUCUAAGUCAUCAAGGCCUCCCCUGUAAAACCACUGCCACUGCCACUAUGGUAUGCUUCUGCAUUUAGAAGGAAACUGCAAGCUCCUCCGGCACUUUUCUGGAACUGAAAACACCUGGCUAAACCUAGUAUGAAGGCUUCAGUGGUUUGGAAAAGCAUGUAUUGAUCAGGCUUAUGAAAAACAAUCUUCUCAUGUGCGCUACAUAUAACCCUGCCCCUAGUUUGUCAUCUGUUUGUCUCUUACAGUCUAAAAGGGAUGUUUGGUACUUGGCAGAGGGGAUAACUGUCUGGUCAGACACUUCAGGGAGGUCACUCCAGCUCCCUGAGUUCCAGUCUCUUUGUGAGCCAAUCAAAAGGACUGGACUAGACCACUGUUAAAGUCCUCUCUGGAGUGUGGUACAAGGACCUGAACAGUUGAAGCCCUAUCCUCGUACUUGCUAACUCCCUCUAGAGUCAAGUAAGCAUGACUUAGGUAUAAAUCUUUCUCUCUGUGUACACCCCCUCUGCCCCAGCUGCUAUGUGUAUGUGUGGACUGCGGAGGGAUUACUUCUUUAACAGAGAAAGAUACUAUUAUUUCAAUGGCCAUAAACAGAAAGUAGUCUGUUAGACUUGAUCAAUGAUAUCUUUUGAUAAGACCUAUUGUAAUUAUCUCAAAAUCUAUUUUUCAACCGAAAAUAAAACAAAAAAAAUGUGCACUUGGUUUUCUUCUAUGUUUCUAUGAUUGUAUAUCACAGUGGUGUCCACUGAACCAUGAAUGAUGAGUGAAACUGACAACUCCCACUUCUCAAACACUUUGACUCACCUUUUUCUUUUUAGCAGGUUGGUCCAUUUUGGCUUGCAGAAAAUCAAUGAGUUUGGUUUGUUGAGAAAUAGUGCCUUCCA